UGGGGAAUCUUGGACAAUGGGGGCAACCCUGAUCCAGCCAUGCCGCGUGAGUGAUGAAGGCCUUAGGGUCGUAAAGCUCUUUCGCCUGUGAAGAUAAUGACGGUAGCAGGUAAAGAAACCCCGGCUAACUCCGUGCCAGCAGCCGCGGUAAUACGGAGGGGGUUAGCGUUGUUCGGAAUUACUGGGCGUAAAGCGCACGUAGGCGGACCAGAAAGUUGGGGGUGAAAUCCCGGGGGCUCAACCCCGGAACUGCCUCCAAAACUAUUGGUCUAGAGUUCGAGAGAGGUGAGUGGAAUUCCAAGUGUAGAGGUGAAAUUCGUAGAUAUUUGGAGGAACACCAGUGGCGAAGGCGGCUCACUGGCUCGAUACUGACGCUGAGGUGCGAAAGUGUGGGGAGCAAAACAGGAUUAGAUACCCCUGGUAGUCCACACCGUAAAACGAUGAAUGCCAGUCGUCGGGGUAGCAUGCUAUUCGGUGACACACCUAACGGAUU
rnacentral:rRNA from 1 species